rnacentral:rRNA from 1 species
UACGAAGGGGGCUAGCGUUGUUCGGAAUCACUGGGCGUAAAGGGCGCGUAGGCGGCUUUGUAAGUCGGGGGUGAAAGCCUGUGGCUCAACCACAGAAUUGCCUUCGAUACUGCAUGGCUUGAGACCGGAAGAGGUAAGUGGAACUGCGAGUGUAGAGGUGAAAUUCGUAGAUAUUCGCAAGAACACCAGUGGCGAAGGCGGCUCACUGGCCCGUUACUGACGCUGAGGCACGAAAGCGUGGGGGAGCAAACAGG